GACAGCAUGGUAUAGUGAUUUGAACAUUAGACAAUGACUCCAGAGACCAAAGUUCAAAUCUCUGUGUGGCCA